UACGUAGGGGGCGAGCGUUGUCCGGAGUUACUGGGCGUAAAGGGCGUGCAGGCGGUGCGGUAAGUUUAGAGUGACAGUCUUCGGCUUAACUGGAGAAGGCCUCUGAAAACUGCCGGACUUGAGGGCCGGAGAGGGACAUAGAAUUCCGGGUGGAGUGGUGAAAUGCGUAGAUAUCCGGAGGAAUACCAAAGGCGAAGGCAGUGUCCUGGCUGGCAUCUGACGCUGAGGCGCGAAAGCUAGGGGAGCGAACAGG
rnacentral:rRNA from 1 species